UACGUAGGGUGCGAGCGUUUAAUCGGAAUUACUGGGCGUAAAGCGUGCGCAGGCGGCGCGUUAAGACAGGUGUGAAAGCCCCGAGCUUAACUUGGGAAUUGCGCUUGUGACUGGCGUGCUGGAGUGUGGCAGAGGGAGGUGGAAUUCCACGUGUAGCAGUGAAAUGCGUAGAGAUGUGGAGGAACACCGAUGGCGAAGGCAGCCUCCUGGGCCAGCACUGACGCUCAUGCACGAAAGCGUGGGGAGCAAACAGGAUUAG
rnacentral:rRNA from 1 species